UUUUUUCUUUGCUCUUGACACUUUCCAUCCUGUUGGAAAAAAAGCCCCCCUUUUCAAGCCGUCUUGUCACCUAUGAAAUGCUUAGGCUGAACCAUGUUCCAUUCCUAUCCGUAGCCACUAGCUAGUAAUUACUUGUUUCUUGGUAUGCCUUACAUCUUGGAUUGAGUUGUGCGGAAUAGGACUAAUUCCAGUCUCCCUAGGAUAUUGUCUUCUGUAUCACUGAGGAGACCUGUCUUCAUGCCAGCACAACUGAGAUCUGGAAUCUUAUCCUAACUCUGUUAACGCAUUGGAAUCCCCAGCUAGGAGUUGUGCUUACGGCAGGGAGCAUUAAUGGCAGAGGAGUAGAAUACAGUCAGCCAAAAUGCUGGCAUAAGGGGUGGAUUUUUAAAAAAUAUUUGGGAACAACAAAUUGAUGUGGGUUUGCUUUUUGGUUUUGGUUGUGGGUUUUCUUGUUCUCUCCUUUUUCUUCUCUCUCUUUUUUUUUUUUUUUUUUUGUAAAUUGUAUUGUAGACAUUCGUUUUUCCCUCUUAUAGCAUAUUUGGAUUAAGUAGAAUUGCAACACUAGCCUAAGGUAAAUUGGGAAAUGAGUCCUUCUGAUAUAAUUCCUUGUUUUACUUUUCUUUCCAUUCGUGAUGAACAACAUUUUGAUGUCAAUGAAGCACCUUAGUGUCUAAUGCUUGAAAUCCCAUUAAUGCGGUGUACUUUAGAACGUAAAGAUUUGAGAAGAAUAAAAAAAAAUAAAUGGUAAAAAAAAAUAUUUCAGAAAAAAAUAAAAAUAAAAAGGCUCAAACUCUUGAAAGAUCUCAUCUACCUCUUCAGACACCAUGAUCAAGUAAUAAUGGCUGUAUGGGGAGUAGUGGGGAAGGGUAGGGGAGUCACUUACUGAGGGCAGGUAGUCUGUUUUAUCUUCAGAAAUAUUAUCAAUAGAAUGACCUACAGUUAAUAUUUUAGGCAUGGUAUCUUGCAUAAUGACCCCUUGUAGUUCAGGAAGCCUAAAAACACAGCACAAACAAAUUAUAAGAAGUAAUAGCUUUUGCUUUAAGAAAGCUUUUAACCUGUAAUGGUGCGAGUAUGGUGCAACCCAUCAGUGUGAAUGCAUAUGGAUACCCUGUGGUUAAGGAGCUGCUCUUCCAUCACUCUCCUUGCUUCCCUGUUUGUAAGCCCAUCUGUUGGGUAAGAAAUCUCUUAGCCUAUUAUCCAAUAGACAUGUGCAAGCCAGAGGGCAGGAAGAAGACAGAGAGGAAGGAGGGGUGAUACAUAAGGGUACGUGUGCCAACAGGUACCUGUUUGUGGAGCUGCUGAGAACAUAGCUGGAGGAGGCUGGAAGGAGGCCACUGAGGCAGCACAGGACCUGGAGUGCCACCAAGAGGGAACUGGAGUUGGGAAAGGAGGGUGAAAUACCAGGCAGGAUGUGUCCACCAGGGAAGGACCCCAUGGUUUCAUGGCUUCUGCAUCUCCAGCGUGCAAGUUGGGUGUCAAGGGGAUACACCUGGGGAAUGGGAUGUGGUGUGGAGUUUAUGGGAGGAACAGAUAGUUAGACUGAGAAGAACUGGUCUAAGGAAAACCUUUUCAAAGAAGAGGGAAAAGGAAUGGCUCCCAUUAGUUGCAGUUCAGACCACUGAAUGUCCUGUAGUAUUGCUGUUGAGUAGAAAUCAAAGGAUGACCAGCUGUAAGUUUUUGAUAGAUUCAGAGUCAUCCUGUUUUCUCUUUGUCAUCUUUCCCCAAAAGACUGCUUGAAGUCUCUCUUCCCAGUCACAUUGGAAGCCAAUUCCUGCUACCUUCAAGCACAAUGGGAAUCAUGCAUGUUAAGACAGUUAACAGGAUAAGAAGAUGUUACCAAGUUGGCUUUCUCUUGCUUGUAAACAAGAAAAAGAGAUUUAGGUGUUCUCGGUGGUGAUAUAAGGUCAGUUACCUUCAGUGUCAUCAGUGAAUCUUCUUGUACUUGGAUGAGGUAUACUCAGAGUUCUUGUAUCUUCUUCUGAUUGGCCUCAUGUUUCUCUUCUUGCUCUUUUUUGACUUUUAUCUUAGAAAUGUACUUAAGAUGAAAAAGCCUUUUAAACCAGAGCAAGAUUAUUGAAUAGCAUUUGCAUGCUUUCAAAUCACCAUUUGCCCCCCAACUCCAUUCAGAGCUCUUAAACUGAUUUUUCAGUGCCUGUGGUUCUAGUCUCCACAUAAGUAACCUAGACUUUCAUAUACUUUUCUCAGGGGAAGCACAAAGCUAUCAAGUUCCUGAUAAAGCAUUAGUACUUUUGGAAACCAUAAAUGCAUGUUUGUAAAAUCUUGAAAGAUAAUUUAUUUUUCUAACAGAUAUUACUGGUUUCAAAUUGUAGUGAUGCAAGCAUUAUAGCAAAAUUGAAAGUGGUGAUACACAAAUGUUUAAAACUAUAGAUUUGAUAUCCAGGCUGAGGGAAUGAAAACAUAAGCAUAUAACACAAACAGUAAAAACAAAUUGGGUUUGUAAAAGUUAUUAUUAGGCAGUGGCUUUGUUACUCCACUGAAAGAAUAUGUGUCGAAUUGAAUGGGAUGUUGAAAAUGGCUAUUUAAACAUGCUAUUUUGGGGGAAGUUUCAAUCCCCCAAAAAUCAUAUUAAGGAGUAAAGGUUUCAUUUGCGUUAUUUAUAGUCGUGUGGUUUGAGUUGUCAGACUUCAACUAAUGAACAUUUCACUCAGGGAAGUGGUUAUCAGAAAAUUAACAGUGCUGAAUACCCUGUGUUACUCAAUUAAAAGAAUACUAUGCUAAGAGGACCAGAAGAUAUCUUUUUAAGAGAAAAGAUAACACCAAAAAUGUGACUUCUGGUUUCUUGGCCAAGUAUUCUUAUUCUUGAACUGGAACACUUCUUGUAAGCCUGUACACAAUAAUGUGAUAGGAUGUGAUUGCCUUAACAUAGCCCAAUGUUAUCAGCUGAGAUAACACCUUCUGAACUCCCCCUGCUUGCUAUGUGAAACAUGUUAACCUGAAUCAUCUUCACUGCAAGUUACCUUUCAGUUGAGACAGGAAGUGAUGCCCAGUGCUCAUCAUCAGUUACAACAACUCAAGGAACAGGUCAGAACUGAUUAAGUCCAUGAUAUUGGUGAAUCUAUAGAACCCAUAAACUAUCAAACAGACUUAAAGAGGCAGAUUGUGGAUAAAUAGCUAUUGAAAGAAUUCUAAAAUUGGUAAAUGCGUAGUAUUAUUUGGACUUAAUAAGUUGCUGAAAACAUGCUGUAGAUUUCUUGUAAAGAUCCUAAAUUAUUGGAAGUAUGCUGUUAGGCUAGGAUAACAAUCGUGCUGUCAUUUAGUGCUUAAAAGUGGAGAACAAGGUUUGAUGUGAUAGUGAAUUGGAAAUUAGACAUCAGUCCUUUUUCUUUCACUUGUUUUCUUGUUGACUUAGACAAAUCCACUUGAACAUUUUUGUUUCAUUUUCCUUGAGAAAAUAAGGUUGGUAGUUCCCAAAAAGUGUGUUGCCGUGCUUAAUCACAACACAUUUCUUUGUAAAGCACUUGGAAGAUGAAAAGCUGUCUUCAAAAAAAAAUAUGCAUCUAUGCCUCUCUCGUUUCCCCUUAAUGUGUUGCCAUGUACCUAAUAAGAAAAUUCCUGACUCAGCAGAAAGUGUGCCUUUACUUUUGAAGCUUAACAACUUCUGUACAUGCAGAACCACACCAGCAUAACUAUACAAUAAUAAUUAUACUGUUAACUGCUUAGCUAGCAGGGGAGGGGGGAAUGGACUCUGGCUUAAACCAACACCUUAUUGGUAAAGCCUAUCCAUGCUAAAGCUUGUCCAUGUGAGCAACCGUGCUCAGUUUGGGGUCCUGUUGGUACCAUCCAGAGUAGAUGCUCAGCAAGCAUAAUUGCUUCUGUAAGUAGCUGAAUGUGAAGCUCGUGUGAAUACUAUAUUACCUGUGACAAUGCAGAAAGUCCAUCAUUAAUAAUACAAGAACAUGCUGGGUUUUCUGGUCUUGAGAAAGGAAGGGGCAGUGCAGAUUCACUGCCAAUUACUGCAGGAAUAAAAAUGCUUAUGUAGGUGUUGCAAAAGGCUUGCAGAAACUCGCUGUAGCAGAGUAUCAAAAGUGCUGAACAAAGGAGAAGAGAACUAGCAACUGUCAAACCAGCUGAAGAACAGGAUGAGUGUGAACCUGGGGCUGCUCUUCUGUCCUGUUGUGGUUGUGCAGAGGUGUGUGCCAGGAUGGGCAUGUCACAGCAGGGGACACUGGGCACAUCACAGCACCAUUCUGGAAGGAGCUAUCAAAGUGCAGGCUGACAAUGAGCUUGUGAAGAUGGGGAUCACAAAAUUCAGAUGCUGCAGAGAGUUGGUGUCUCCCUGAAUCCCAAUUUACUGACCUCAGAUGAAUCCUGAGAUUGUAUCGACCUGGGACAAAGACUGGAGCUCAGAUGCUUCAGUUGGGGAAUUUGGACCUUCUUCACACCUGUGGAAAACUUUGCAUCAGAGGAAGAAAGGAUGAUGUGUUCUUUGAACUUUACAAGAGCCCCAAGCCAAGAUUUCCAUUCAACAAGGUGGGGGGAGGAGAAAAAAAUCUCCUUGAAGAAAGCAGAAGAACAGGAGAGGGACACAAAACUGGAUGAAGACAUUAAGCAGCUCUAGAGUGGGCAAAUGUAGAUUCAGCAAAGGUUUAUGAGACAAAACGUCCUGAGAUGUGUGCUUCAACAGGUCAGCUGGCCGAGUGACCAGGGUAAUAUGCAACAGUUUCCCUUCCACACAGCCCCUGUGGAAAAUCAGAAUAGCGAUGAGUAUUUGUACUCUGACCUCAGAAUCAUGUAGAAACAGCAAGGUUUUUCUCCUGUUUUUCUAGCCUGAUUAUCUUUGGGAACAAGACAAGAUAAAUCAUGGUAUGUCUUUUUGUUCCUUGCAUACCUCUAGGGAAUUCUCUCUUCUCCCUCUAACUUCUGAAUUCAGUUUCAACUGAAACUUUAUAGCUGAGCAGGAAUAUUAAAAUCUAUAAGGUUUUUAAAAUUUUGGGAAGAGAGGUGAGCCACCAGAUCAUGGAGUCUAGACAGGCAAGAAGCCCUAUAGAGAUCCAAACCAGGAAGAUCUCUUUAACUGAAGUUCAUACCUUUUUUUUUUUUUUUUUUUUUUUAAUGCAAAAGUCAAUCAGUCACAAGAAGUGAAGCUGUAAGAAUCUAUGAUCUGCUCUUUGUGGUGCUCAAAGAAUAACUUCUUAACUGAGUGUAAAUGUUUUUGAGAAGUGUUGUGUUUUUCAUUUUUUUAACCACUGCUCAAUAAAGCUGUUUUAUGUAA